rnacentral:rRNA from 1 species
CCCUUAGAUGUCCUGGGCCGCACGCGCGUUACACUGAUGCAUUCAACGAGCUUAUAACCUUGGCCGAGAGGCCUGGGCAAUCUUGUUAACGUGCAUCGUGAUAGGGAUAGAUUAUUGAAAUUAUUAAUCUUGAACGAGGAAUUCCUAGUAAACGCAGAUCAUCAAUCUGCAUUGAUUACGUCCCUGCCCUUUGUACACACCGCCCGUCGCACCUACCGAUUGGAUGGUCCGGUGAAGCCUCGGGAUUGUGGUUCUUGCCGCUUUAUUGUGGCGUGACCGCGAGAACUUGUCUAAACCUUAUCAUCUAGAGGAAGGUGAAUUCGUAACA